rnacentral:lncRNA from 1 species
ACUCUGGGUGCUCAUCGCUGGAGGGUGGGAGCCCGGAGUCCUGCUCACAGCCAAGUGUCCUUGCGGUCUGGAGACCCAAGAAUCGACCUGAAGAAUCUCAUUCUCAGCUCCCCAGGGAGCCCCCAGCCCGCCCCGGUUCCGGAGGCUGCUCUGCUUCCCGGGAGGAAGAGCCCAGUGACCUGAUUUCACCCAAGGCCCAAGGAGGGGCCCGGCAGGGCAAGGAAAGCUUGGGGGAGCUGGAUCGGGUGCCGGGUGCAGGGCUGCGGGCUGGACUCUGCUAGGACAGCCACCAGCAGCGGGGACAGCUGAGCCCAUGCCUGCUUGAAACCAGCCAGGGCAGGUGGCAAAGGGCAGGCUGGACCCUCAGCCUGGGACCUCGCCCAGGGAACCGAGAGAUGCCUCACAGGAGUGACUCACACCUGCCCCUCUGGGACUCCCUGGACCCCACCCUGCUGGGGCGGCUGCAUCACACACAGGCCCCUUCUGCAGCA